GGCGGCAUGGCCAAGCGGUAAGGCAGGGGA
rnacentral:tRNA from 2 species